rnacentral:rRNA from 1 species
AUUGAACGCUGGCGGCAGGCUUAACACAUGCAAGUCGAGCGAGCGGCGGACGGGUGAGUAAUGUCUGGGAAACUGCCUGAUGGAGGGGGAUAACUACUGGAAACGGUAGCUAAUACCGCAUACCAUCAGAUGUGCCCCGAGGGGAUUAGCUAGUAGGUGGGGUAAUGGCUCACCUAGGCGACGGUCCCUAGCUGGUCUGCGAGGAUGACAAGCCACACGGGAACUGAGAGACGGUGCAGCGUCCCACGGGAGGACGCAGUGGGGAAGAUGGCACAAUGGGCGAAAGCGUGAUGCAGCCAUGCCGCGUGUGUGAAGAAGGCCUUCGGGCUGUAAAGUACUUUCAGCGAGGAGGCGUUACUCGCAGAAGAAGCACCGGCUAACUCCGUGCCAGCAGCCGCGGUAAUUC